rnacentral:rRNA from 1 species
CACCGCGGUUAUACGACAGAGGCUCAAGUUGAUGCUUAACGGCGUAAAGCGUGAUUAGAGGAAACACAAAACUAAAGCCGAACAUCCCCUUAGCAGUUAUACGCCUAAAGACACACGAAGCCCAACAACGGAAGUAGCUUUAACCAAAAACCUUGAAUUCACGAGAAUUAAGAAA